rnacentral:lncRNA from 1 species
UUAUUGGUUUUAUAUUUUGUUAUGAAAUAAUCAUUUUUAUCAAGGAAGUGGAUUGGUGGAAUCCCCUUGCGGGGUACACUGCUGACUGACCUUGGAUCUUUUGAGAAGAGUUCAAGUGCGAGCAUGUUUGUUUCCCUGUUGGGACUCGAAAGAUGAUGAACUAUGCUUGAGCGUUAGAGAAGCUAGUAGAAACUUUGGUGGAGGCCUUCAUCGAUAUUGACAUACAAAUGAUUUUCCCGACUUGGGUAUAGGGGUGAAAGACUAAAAAACCCUAAUAAUAAU